AGCUCAGUACUUGGAGUGCAAAUCCAUAUAAGGUGUAUAAACCCUGGGCUU
rnacentral:tRNA from 1 species